UUGGUUAGAACUCCAGUUAAUCCGCCACCGCAACGGUGUCGGGCGAGGGUCGUCACGCCGGCAACGACCCCUUUCGGCGAAAGCUUCGCCAGGCCUCCCCUGGGGGCCAACGGGACAUAACAGUCAAC
rnacentral:ncRNA from 2 species